rnacentral:lncRNA from 1 species
UUUUAUUGAUAAAAACAAAACAACUAAAUGAUAAAAGAAGUCACUAACGGCCAGUGGCCUUAUUACAUUAAUGUAGAAGAGUAAAAAUCCUAACUACUUGGUCCUAGAAGGACCUUCCCCAGGUUCGGUAUUCUUGCCUCCCUCGUAUAGUUGCAUCAACUCACGCAUCCCUAACAGUAGGUAGGCUCGAGCCAGAUGUCCGCCUACGCUUCCUUUAGCGUUUUGACAGUCUUCAAUCCUUUUUAAUAACUUCCCUUCUAACUCUACUAGACCUUGCUCCAGAUACCCCAAAUGGUUGUUGGCGGUGACGGCCAUAUCCUCCCACUCAUUGAUCACCUUCUCGUGGGCUUCCUCUAUUUCCCGAUGUUUGUUCUCACAUUCUCUCAUUCUCUUGGGCAGUUGAUUGUAUUUGACUUGCGCUUCAGCUUUCUCGUCAAUAAUCCUGUGAUCGUGGAUGAACCCUGGACGACCCAAUCAAUGUGAUCAUCUUCUAACCAACCUGCGUAGUGCGGCACACACCUGGCAUGAUACCUGACUGGUUAAAUAGAAUCCUUGAACGAGCAUGCAGUGCCACAUAUGCUGCGCGUGACACCUGUACGGGCUAUCGCAAUUUUGAAAGUCAGCCCUGAAAUGACUCAUUUUUUCUAUACUAGGUAUGAUUUAUUUCCUUCCGGCUUGCCUCAUAACUCGGAGGGACGUAAGGAUGAGUUCCCCUCAUGCCAAUGAGUAUGAGGCAUAGUGCGUCAUGAGAACGUACAAUGAACUCCCAUGUUGAGAACCACUCGAACAUCCACUGAAUUUGCUCUUCUUUCAGAUUCUCGAAUAACUCUACCCAUCCACUAGCGUCCUCUGGAUGAGCGAACAUAUUGGGCAUGAAGUUCAUUC